UACAGAGGGGGCGAGCGUUGUUCGGAAUUACUGGGCGUAAAGGGCGCGUAGGCGGCCUCUUAAGUCGAACGUGAAAUCCCCGGGCUCAACCCGGGAACUGCGUCCGAUACUGGGGGGCUUGAAUCCGGGAGAGGGAAGUGGAAUUUCCGGUGUAGCGGUGAAAUGCGUAGAUAUCGGAAGGAACAUCAGUGGCGAAAGCGACUUCCUGGACCAAUACUGACGCUCAUGUGCGAAAGCGUGGGGAGCAAACAGG
rnacentral:rRNA from 1 species